GACAAGCGUCUCUCCCUUUAGAGCGUCCUUUUCCCCGUGUCGCUUCAAACGUACACAUAUAGAGGAAAAGCGCAGCCCCGUGUCUCUGUCUCUCGGCGGUAUGGAUGUACGCGGGAAUCAUGCGGAUCUGAGGCCUGCUGCACACUUUGAUGCAUGCAGGAACACAAGCACAUUACACCCCUACUGGAACAGACGACAUGUUUCUCUCAAACAGAAAUGCCCCUGAAACAGCGAGAGUAACACUAGAAACCUGAGCUGUGAUUUUCAGAAGAUCCUGAACGUCUCAGAUUCAGUCCAACUGCAUCCGGGUCCUUCAGCCAAACAGGUGUGUGGUGUUACUGUGAUGAAAGAACCAAAGACUUCAGUAACCGAACAUGAACACCAUCAGAUGUUCAUAGGGCUCUUGCUGAUGGUGAUAUAAAGCAGAUCCAGAGAAAUGAGCCCUGAAGAUCCUGUGCAGUAAUCUGAGACGUCCAUCCGUCUGUGUGUGUGUGUGUGUUGUGUGUUUGUGUGGGAUUAAUAUGACUAAAGCAUACACACACAGACACUGACAGAAGAGAUUUGAGAGCGGCCACUGCAUGGUUUCUAUGGAGACGUGCGGUUGUUGUGCAAGCUCUUAUUUUCGGUGGUGGAGGCCUGGAUGAGGAGGUGGGGAAAUCUGAGCAUAUGACAGCCGUGGAGUGACAGUAGGAGUGUGUGUGGGAGAAAACACAGAGAGAGAGAUACAAGCUGAAAUGAGAGGAGGAGUGAGGCAGGAUUCUGUUAGGACAUUAUGAUGGAAAGAGGCCGUACUGGAAGACAAACAAAUAAUGCUAUUGUUUUAUCAUUGCACAAUACUGAAAUACCCAAAACAACUCUA